CUCCACUAGUGUGAAAAAACGAAACAGCCUCGCAGCAACAUGAGGACUCUUCUGGUCCUGGCCGCGGUAUUGGCAGUCGCUUGUGCACUCCCUCGCCGACCAAAUCAAAUGGUCGUCCGGGAAAUGCUGGUAUCAACUCCGGGGUCCCUGGAAAUGGUGGCUUCGUCUCUGGAUUUCCUGUGAAUGAAGGACUGAGUCAGGCCUUGCCGGGGUCUGGUUUCGGACAGGGUUACCUAGGCUUCGGCGCUGGAUUCCCGGGCAAUGGCUUCGGUCAGCAGUACCCUAGCAGCAACGGCUUCGGUCAGCUAUUUCCUGGUAACAACGGCUUCGUUCAGCCAUUCCCGGGUAACAAUGGCUUCGGUCAGCAGCUUCCUGGCAACAGCGGCUUUGGCGGUCGGUUCCCAGGAAACGGCUUCCAAGACAUUGGCUUCAACAGACCUCUCCGUAACUCCGGGGAACGAGACGACUCUAACAGUAGCGAGUCAAGAGAAAGGGAUUGAAAUGCCUGUAUGACACCUUGAAUUUUCCUGCGAUGCAUUAAAGAGCUACAAUCUGCAA